UGAUUGGCAAUUAAGGGCGAAUGGUGGAUGCCUAGACACCAAAAGGCGAUGAAGGACGCAGCGUAGCGGCGAUACGCCUCGGGGAGGUGCGUAGCAACCGGUGAUCCGAGGAUGUCCGAAUGGGGAAACCCUGUCGUGUAAACCACGAUGACCCCGACCUAGGUCGGGGAGCGAACCCGCUGAAGUGAAACAUCUCAGUAAGCGGAGGAACAAAGAACAAGUUUAUUCCCUGAGUAGCGGCGAGCGAAACGGGAAGAGCCCAAACCCAUGUGCAUCGCACUAAGGUGCGCUGCUGUGUCAGGUAUCAGGCGCUAUGCGUCAAGAAUGAAAAUUUCUUGAUGCGUGAUGCUUGGCACUUGAUACUGCACAAGCGCUUUAGCGCGGUGUGCGUGGGGGUUGUAAGGGAGAAACUCUACUUGCUUAUAACCGAAAACCGGGCAACCGGUCAUCGGUUAUGAGUAAGUGUGGGAAAGUUACAAAAUCAUGAGUUAGCCGAAGUCCUCUGGAAAGUGGAGCCAAAGACGGUGAUAGCCCGGUAGGCGAAAACUUAUGAUCUUUCUAGUUUCUUUUCUUGAGUACUUCAAGGUAAGAGCGCCUUGAAGGAAACCGCGAGUACUAUCUCGCAAGGCUAAAUACUUUUGGUGAUCGAUAGUGAACAAGUACCGUGAGGGAAAGGUGAAAAGCAGGCCGGUGAGGCCGUUGAAAUAGAACCUGAAACCAUUUGCCUACAAGGAACCGGGGCCCGAAUCCCGACGCAAGUCGGGAAGGGUGACGGUGUGCCUAUUGAAGAAUGAGCCAACGACUUAUGGGACAUCGCAAGUCUAACCCGCGGAGCGGGGGAGGCGCAGGGAAACCGAGUCUUAAUAGGGCGACAUACAAGCGGUGUGCCAUAGACCCGAAGCCGGAUGAGCUUGCCUUGGCCAGGAUGAAGGUCGCCGAAAGGCGACCGGAGGUCCGAACCGGUGGGUUGUUCAAAACCUUCGGAUGAGCUGAGGUAAGGAGUGAAAAGCUAAUCGAAUUCGGUAAUAGCUGGUUCUCUCCGAAAUAGUUUUAGGACUAGCGCCGUGCGGUAGCGGAUGGGGGUAGAGCACUGGAUGAUUGGUAAAGGCCGAAAGGCCGAUCAAUCAAUCAAACUCCGAAUACCGUCCGUGGAAUCACGGUAGUUAGAACGUGGGGGCUAAGCUCCAUGUUCAAAAGGGAAACAGCCCAGACCAUCAGCUAAGGUCCCUAAAUCUACGCUAAGUGUGAAAGGUAGUCUCGCGCCAUAGACAGAUAGGAGGUUGGCUUAGAGGUAGCCAUCCUUUAAAGAGUGUGUAACAACUCACUAUUCGACGGCGAGGGGCGCCGAAAAUGUACCGGGGCUAAGCGUAGUACCGACGCUAUGGAUUUCAGUGCGUAGCACUGAAUUGCGAAGAUACGCGAAAAUAAAUUCAACGCGAGAAUAUGCGAAAUGAUUCGCACGGUUUCGCGCUGAACCCAAGUUCGCAACGUUUCGCUAUUCAGCGCUGCGCGCUGGAGUGGUAGGAGAGCAUUCCGAUCGCACUGAAGCUCGACCCGCGAGGGCGAGUGGAGCGUUCGGAAGAGAGAAUGUUGGCAUGAGUAGCCCACAAUCCCAAUGAGAAAUUGGAACCCCGAAAAUCCAAGGUUUCCGUGGCACUGGCAAUCAACCACGGGUUAGGCGGUCCUAAGGCGAUGGCGAAAGCCGCAGCUGAAUGGGUAGCCGGUUAAUAUUCCGGCCCGCCGUAUGCGUGCGAUGUGGCGACGAAGUGCAGUAGGUCUGGUGUCUAAUUGGUUUGACAUCCGUGGUCUGAGGAGGUGCGUUUGGCAAAUCCGGCGCAGGGCCCUUCAAUGGGCACCCUCCAAGGUCAGCGGUUAGGUAGGGAAUUUACCCUGCCAAGCAGAUUGAGCGCGCUUCCAAGAAAAACCUCUAAGCAUAACGCGUGCGGCACCGUACCGGAAACCGACACAGGUGGAUAGGGCGAGAAGCCCAAGGGGAACGAGUGAUCUGCCGCUAAGGAACUCGGCAAAAAAGCGGCCGUACCUUAGGUAUAAGGCCUACCCGACGCAAGUCGGGUCGCAGCGAAAGUCUCUCUGGCGACUGUUUACCAAAAACACAGCUCCCUGCGAACUCGUAAGAGGAUGUAUAGGGGGUGACACCUGACCGAUGCGAGAAGGUCAAGCUUGGGGGUGUGUGUCUCACUGCGUUCGACACAACGCGAUGCGAAUUACGCGAAUUCCAUCCGAAUCUACGAAUCCCGGAUUAAAUCCAAAUUUGUAGAUUCGCAUACAUUCGCAGAUUAGCAUCGGAUAGGUGGCGAGCGGAGCGAGGCACAUGCUCACCGAGUCAAGCCCUCGUCAAUGUCAGCCGUAACUAUAACGGUUCUAAGGUAGCGCAAUUCCUUUUCGGGUAAGUUCCGAAGCGCACGAAAGGUGUAACGACUGGAGAACUGUCUCAGCGGCAUACUCGGCGAAAAUGCGAUUCCCGUGAAGACGCGGGAUACCUGCAGCGGGACGAAAAGACCCCGGAAGCUUUACUGCAGCUUGGUAUUGGCUUUAGGGGUUUGAUGCGUAGCGUAGUGGGGAGCCUUUGAAGCGGUCCUUUCGGGGGCCGUGGAGGCGACAAUGAAACACCCAUCUUCAAAUCUUUAAAAUCUAACCGACGGAAAACCGAACAGAGGAAAGUCCGUCGAGACAGUGCUUGGCAGGCAGUUUAAAUGGGGCGUUUUCCUCCUAAAGAGUAACGGAGGAGUUUAUUAAGGUUGGCUAGGGUCGGAUGGAAACCGACCUCGUCGUGUAAAGGCACAAGCCAGCUUGACUGCAAGACAUACAAGUCGAGCAGGUGCGAAAGCAGAACUUAGUGACCCGACCACACAUCAUAGAAUGGUGGGAGACACCGGAUAAAAGCUACUCCGGGGAUAACAGGCUGGUGUCGUCUGAGCGUUCCUAGCGACGACGACGCUCGGCACCUCGAUGUCGGCUCGCCUUAGCGCGGGGGUGAAGAAGCUCCCAAGCGUUUGGCUGUUCGCCAAUUAAAAGGGCACGUGAGCUGGGUUCAGACCGUCGUGAGACAGGUUGGUCUCUAUCUGCUGCAGGCGUGGACGCUUGAGGGGAGUUGACCCUAGUACGAGAGGACUGGGUUGAACAGACCUCUGGUCUACCGGCUUUGCCACCAGGUGAAGCGCCGGGUAGCUAUGUCUGGAUGGGAUAAGCGCUGAAAGCAUCUAAGCACGAAGCCCACCCCAAGAUUAGGCGUCGUCCGCAAGGACAUGGCUUGGUCGCAGACUACGACCUCGAUAGGCUCUAGGUGUAAGAUCCGCAAGGAUUUGAGCCAAGGAGUACUAAAAGCCACUGCCAAUCAUC
rfam:Candidatus Doudnabacteria bacterium RIFCSPHIGHO2_01_52_17 rifcsphigho2_01_sub10_scaffold_4155, whole genome shotgun sequence.